rnacentral:rRNA from 1 species
UACGGAGGAUGCAAGCGUUAUCCGGAAUUAUUGGGCGUAAGGCGUCCGUAGGUGGCUGAUCAAGUCUGCUGUCAAAGCGUGGAGCUUAACUCCAUAACGGCAGUGGAAACUGAUGAGCUAGAGUGCGAUAGGGGUAGCAGGAAUUCCCAGUGUAGCGGUGAAAUGCGUAGAGAUCGUAAGGAAGACCAGUGGCGAAGGCGGGUCUCUGGACAGUUCCUGACACUGAGGCACGAAGGCCAGGGGAGCAAACGGG